AUCCUGGCUCAAGACGAACGCUGGCGGCGUGCUUAACACAUGCAAGUCGAACGGAGUACCCUCGAAAGAGAUUUCGGUCAAUGGAGAGGACUACUUAGUGGCGGACGGGUGAGUAACGCGUGAGGAACCUGCCUUUCAGUGGGGGACAACAGUUGGAAACGACUGCUAAUACCGCAUAACGUACGGGUAUCGCAUGGUACUGGUACCAAAGAUUUAUCGCUGAGAGAUGGCCUCGCGUCUGAUUAGCUAGUUGGUAGGGUAACGGCCUACCAAGGCGACGAUCAGUAGCCGGACUGAGAGGUUGGCCGGCCACAUUGGGACUGAGAUACGGCCCAGACUCCUACGGGAGGCAGCAGUGGGGAAUAUUGGGCAAUGGGCGCAAGCCUGACCCAGCAACGCCGCGUGAAGGAAGAAGGCUUUCGGGUUGUAAACUUCUUUUGACAGGGAAGAGCAGAAGACGGUACCUGUCGAAUAGGCCACGGCUAACUACGUGCCAGCAGCCGCGGUAAUACGUAGGGGGCAAGCGUUAUCCGGAUUUACUGGGUGUAAAGGGAGCGUAGACGGCAGCGCAAGUCUGGAGUGAAAUGCCGGGGGCUCACC
rnacentral:rRNA from 1 species